CGAGCGCAACCCUUAUCCUUUGUUGCCAGCGAUUAGGUCGGGAACUCAAAGGAGACUGCCAGUGAUAAACUGGAGGAAGGUGGGGAUGACGUCAAGUCAUCAUGGCCCUUACGACCAGGGCUACACACGUGCUACAAUGGCGCAUACAAAGAGAAGCGACCUCGCGAGAGCAAGCGGACCUCAUAAAGUGCGUCGUAGUCCGGAUUGGAGUCUGCAACUCGACUCCAUGAAGUCGGAAUCGCUAGUAAUCGUGGAUCAGAAUGCCACGGUGAAUACGUUCCCGGGCCUUGUACACACCGCCCGUCACACCAUGGGAGUGGGUUGCAAAAGAAGUAGGUAGCUUAACCUUCGGGAGGGCGCUUACCACUUUGUGAUUCAUGACUGGGGUGAAGUCGUAACAAGGUAACCGUAGGGGAACCUGC
rnacentral:rRNA from 2 species